CCUACGGGUGGCAGCAGUGGGGAAUAUUGGGCAAUGGGCGCAAGCCUGACCCAGCAACGCCGCGUGAAGGAAGAAGGCUUUCGGGUUGUAAACUUCUUUUGUCAGGGAAGAGUAGAAGACGGUACCUGACGCAUAAGACACAGCUAACUACGUGCCGGCAGCCGCGGUAAUACGUAGGUGGCAAGAGUUGUCCGGAUUUACUGGGUUUAAAGGGCGUGUAGCCGGGUUGACAAGUCAGAUGUGAAAUCCUGCGGCUUAACCGCAGAACUGCAUUUGAAACUGUUGAUCUUGAGUACUGGAGAGGCAGACGGAAUUCCUAGUGUAGCGGUGAAAUGCGUAGAUAUUAGGAGGAACGCCAGUGGCGAAGGCGGUCUGCUGGACAGCAACUGACGGUGAGGCGCGAAAGCGGGGGGAGCAAACAGGAUUAGAUACCCUAGUAGUC
rnacentral:rRNA from 1 species